rnacentral:rRNA from 1 species
AUUGAACGCUGGCGGCAGGCUUAACACAUGCAAGUCGAGCGGUAGCACAGGGGAGCUUGCUCCCUGGGUGACGAGCGGCGGACGGGUGAGUAAUGUCUGGGAAACUGCCUGAUGGAGGGGGAUAACUACUGGAAACGGUAGCUAAUACCGCAUAACGUCGCAAGACCAAAGAGGGGGACCUUCGGGCCUCUUGCCAUCAGAUGUGCCCAGAUGGGAUUAGCUAGUAGGUGGGGUAAUGGCUCACCUAGGCGACGAUCCCUAGCUGGUCUGAGAGGAUGACCAGCCACACUGGAACUGAGACACGGUCAGACUCCUACGGGAGGCAGCAGUGGGGAAUAUUGCACAAUGGGCGCAAGCCUGAUGCAGCCAUGCCGCGUGUGUGAAGAAGGCCUUCGGGUUGUAAAGCACUUUCAGCGAGGAGGAAGGUGGUGAGCUUAAUACGUUCAUCAAUUGACGUUACUCGCAGAAGAAGCACCGGCUAACUCCGUG